AGAGUUUGAUCCUGGCUCAGAACGAACGCUGGCGGCGCGUUUUAAGCAUGCAAGUCGAGCGGCAAGGGCCUUCGGGCCCCUAGAGCGGCGGACGGGUGAGUAACACGUGGACAAUCUGCCCCCCGGUCCGGGAUAGCCCAGGGAAACCUGGAUUAAUACCGGAUGCGAGCGCGAGCACACAGGUGCUUGCGGGGAAAGGCGCUUCGGCGCCGCCGGGGGAUGAGUCCGCGGCCCAUUAGCUAGACGGCGGGGUAAAGGCCCACCGUGGCGACGAUGGGUAGCCGGCCUGAGAGGGUGAUCGGCCACAUUGGAACUGAGACACGGUCCAGACUCCUACGGGAGGCAGCAGCUAAGAAUCUUCCGCAAUGGGCGAAAGCCUGACGGAGCGACGCCGCGUGAACGAUGAAGGCCGUGAGGUUGUAAAGUUCUUUUCGGGAGGGGGAAUAAGCGGGGCAGGAAAUGGCCCUGCGAUGACGUGAAUCCCGGAAUAAGCCCCGGCUAACUACGUGCCAGCAGCCGCGGUAACACGUAGGGGGCGAGCGUUGUUCGGAAUCAUUGGGCGUAAAGGGCGUGCAGGCGGCCCUGCAAGUCCGGCGUGAAAUGCCCCGGCUCAACCGGGGAGACGCGCUGGAAACUGCGGGGCUGGAGUACAGGAGGGGAUGCCGGAAUUCCAGGUGUAGGGGUGAAAUCUGUAGAUAUCUGGAGGAACACCAAUGGCGAAGGCAGGCAUCUGGCCAUGUACUGACGCUGAGACGCGAAGGUGCGGGGAGCAAACAGGUUUAGAUACCCUGGUAGUCCGCACAGUAAACGAUGUGCACCAGGUGGCGGGGGGUCGACCCCCGGUACCGAAGCUAACGCAUUAAGUGCACCGCCUGGGGAGUAUGCUCGCAAGGGUGAAACUCAAAGGAAUUGACGGGGGCCCGCACAAGCGGUGGAGCAUGUGGUUUAAUUCGAUGAUACGCGAGGAACCUUACCUACUCUUGACAUCCAGAGAACUUAGCAGAGAUGCUUUGGUGCCUUCGGGAACUCUGAGACAGGUGCUGCAUGGCUGUCGUCAGCUCGUGUUGUGAAAUGUUGGGUUAAGUCCCGCAACGAGCGCAACCCUUAUCCUUUGUUGCCAGCGGUCCGGCCGGGAACUCAAAGGAGACUGCCAGUGAUAAACUGGAGGAAGGUGGGGAUGACGUCAAGUCAUCAUGGCCCUUACGAGUAGGGCUACACACGUGCUACAAUGGCGCAUACAAAGAGAAGCGACCUCGCGAGAGCAAGCGGACCUCAUAAAGUGCGUCGUAGUCCGGAUUGGAGUCUGCAACUCGACUCCAUGAAGUCGGAAUCGCUAGUAAUCGUAGAUCAGAAUGCUACGGUGAAUACGUUCCCGGGCCUUGUACACACCGCCCGUCACACCAUGGGAGUGGGUUGCAAAAGAAGUAGGUAGCUUAACCUUCGGGAGGGCGCUUACCACUUUGUGAUUCAUGACUGGGGUGAAGUCGUAACAAGGUAGCC
rnacentral:rRNA from 1 species